rnacentral:rRNA from 1 species
UACGUAGGGUGCGAGCGUUAAUCGGAAUUACUGGGCGUAAAGCGUGCGCAGGCGGCGGCUCAAGUCAGGUGUGAAAUCCCCGGGCUUAACCUGGGAAUUGCGCUUGAAACUAGGUUGCUAGAGUGUGGCAGAGGGGGGUGGAAUUCCACGGUGUAGCAGUGAAAUGCGUAGAGAUGUGGAGGAACACCGAUGGCGAAGGCAGCCCCCUGGGUCAACACUGACGCUCAUGCACGAAAGCGUGGGGAGCAAACAGG